AAAUGGCUGGGUUAUUUUUUAACCCAAAAUGCUGGGUUGAGUCUGUUGGGUUGUUUUGCUGGGUUAUUUUUUUACAUUUUAAACACUUUUUGGGUAGUUUCAGUUUUCUAGGUGUUGGGUUAAAACUGCUGGGUUAUUAUGUUGGGUUGUUUGAAGAGGCUCACGUCACGUGCUUCGCGCCCUUGAUGUUUGAAUGUGCUCAGCAAUGGUCGUCGUGAAAGGACAGAGUCACUGAAGCAGUUGUUUCAAGGUAAGUUUAUAUGCUUUUGUGAACAUUUCAUGAAUAUAAACAAGAUUAUAACAUUUUGCGAGACAGCAACGUGUUAAUUUAUACUGACUAAGACGACGGGUGUAAUUUAGAGGAAUGACGACUGUUACCUCAGAUCGCCAUUUACACAAAUUGACUUGAAUAAUCGUUCUAAGAUGUUUGAUAUGGCAUAUUAAUAAAAUUAAUAAAACAGAUGUUACAAAAUCCCCAUCACACGGUUGAUUACGUUAACUCAUGACAAUUCUGUAAGCCUUUAACAAAGCGAGUCAAAACCGGUGGACCUCCGCAACCCACUUCGGCUUUUUGUGUCACACACGCGCAUAGUUUUCCCUUUCCCAGCUUAACAAGCGAUAGCGACGCUGUUAAAUUAAAUUUAGCGACAAACGAAUUGCUUUCUUGUCAUUCGAUAUGUAAAGACAGACCGCAAAGGGCGAGGCGCGAGCAGAAGCACAUGUUAACUUUACCGGCGGCGCCGCGGCGGAGGAUCACGGAGCCGUCGUCUACGCUGUCACUGAGGCAAAGACAAGAAGCACAUUCACUUCACAGUCGGUACGGCAGAGUGUGCAGAGUUUUUAUGUCCAUCCAUUGAUGAGGCUAGCAAGACCUUCAAACAACUUUAGCCAAUUGCAACAAAUGUGGUGGAAUUUCUUCUCUGGACAGAAUCCUCGAAACCCUUUCCUUUCUUCCUGGCCAUGGGAAACAUGCAGCAGAUCUCUCAAUCUUUUUUCUCAAUCAGUCUCUCUGAAUACGGAAGUGACUUAAACCAUAGAUAUAAAGGCUAGAUGGCUCUUCCGCGCUGCUGGCCAAUUGAGUGCAAC